AACGAACGCUGGCGGCAUGCCUAACACUUGCAAGUCGAACGAGACCUUCGGGUCUAGCGGCGCACGGGUGCGUAACGCGUGGGAAUCUGCCCUUGGGUACGGAAUAACAGUUAGAAAUGACUGCUAAUACCGUAUAAUGACUUCGGUCCAAAGAUUUAUCGCCCAGGGAUGAGCCCGCGUAGGAUUAGCUUGUUGGUGAG
rnacentral:rRNA from 1 species